GUAGGGAAUAUUGGACAAUGGGGGGAACCCUGAUCCAGCCAUGCCGCGUGUGUGAAGAAGGCCUUUUGGUUGUAAAGCACUUUAAGCGAGGAGGAGGCUACCGAGAUUAAUACUCUUGGAUAGUGGACGUUACUCGCAGAAUAAGCACCGGCUAACUCUGUGCCAGCAGCCGCGGUAAUACAGAGGGUGCAAGCGUUAAUCGGAUUUACUGGGCGUAAAGCGCGCGUAGGUGGCCAAUUAAGUCAAAUGUGAAAUCCCCGAGCUUAACUUGGGAAUUGCAUUCGAUACUGGUUGGCUAGAGUAUGGGAGAGGAUGGUAGAAUUCCAGGUGUAGCGGUGAAAUGCGUAGAGAUCUGGAGGAAUACCGAUGGCGAAGGCAGCCAUCUGGCCUAAUACUGACACUGAGGUGCGAAAGCAUGGGGAGCAAACAGGAUUAGAUACCCGGGUAGUCC
rnacentral:rRNA from 1 species